rnacentral:rRNA from 1 species
AUUGAACGCUGGCGGCAGGCCUAACACAUGCAAGUCGAGCGAGCGGCGGACGGGUGAGUAAUGUCUGGGAAACUGCCCGAUAGAGGGGGAUAACUACUGGAAACGGUGGCUAAUACCGCAUACUAUCGGAUGUGCCCAUAUGGGAUUAGCUAGUAGGUGGGGUAACGGCUCACCUAGGCGACGAUCUCUAGCUGUUCUGCGAGGAUGAUCAGCCACACUGGAACUGAGACACGGUCCAGACUCCUACGGGAGGCAGCAGUGGGGAAUAUUGCACAAUGGGCGCAAGCCGGAUGCAGCCAUGUCGCGUGUAUGAAGAAGGCCUUAGGGUUGUAAAGUACUUUCAGCGAGGAGGCGUUACUCGCAGAAGAAGCACCGGCUAACUCCGUGCCAGCAGCCGCGGUAAUUC